GAUGAACGCUGGCGGCGUGCCUAAUACAUGCAAGUCGAGCGAAUGGAUUAAGAGCUUGCUCUUAUGAAGUUAGCGGCGGACGGGUGAGUAACACGUGGGUAACCUGCCCAUAAGACUGGGAUAACUCCGGGAAACCGGGGCUAAUACCGGAUAACAUUUUGAACCGCAUGGUUCGAAAUUGAAAGGCGGCUUCGGCUGUCACUUAUGGAUGGACCCGCGUCGCAUUAGCUAGUUGGUGAGGUAACGGCCCACCAAGGCCACGAUGCGUAGCCGACCUGAGAGGGUGAUGGGCCACACUGGGCAUGAGACACGGCCCAGACUCCUACGGGAGGCAGCAGUAGGGAAUCUUCCGCAAUGGACGAAAGUCUGACGGAGCAACGCCGCGUGAGUGAUGAAGGCUUUCGGGUCGUAAAACUCUGUUGUUAGGGAAGAACAAGUGCUAGUUGAAUAAGCUGACACCUUGACGGUACCUAACCAGAAAGCCACGGCUAACUACGUGCCAGCCGCCGCAGUAA
rnacentral:rRNA from 1 species